rnacentral:misc_RNA from 1 species
GAUGAAGAACAUAGCGAAAUGCGAUAAGUAGUGUGAAUUGCAGAAUUCAGUGAAUCAUCGAAUCUUUGAACGCACAUUGCGCCCUUUGGUAUUCCAAAGGGCAUGCCUGUCCGAGCGUCAUUUGUACCCUCAAGCUUUGCUUGGUGUUGGGCGUCUUGUCUCUAGCUUUGCUGGAGACUCGCCUUAAAGUAAUUGGCAGCCGGCCUACUGGUUUCGGAGCGCAGCACAAGUCGCACUCUCUAUCAGCAAAGGUCUAGCAUCCAUUAAGCCUUUUUUUCAACUUUUGACCUCGGAUCAGGUAGGGAUACCCGCUGAACUUAAGCAUAUCAAUAAGCGGAGGA